UGCGCCAAUGCUGGCUGAAUUUUCCUUUUGAAAUGUCCUCCUUUUAUAAUAAUCUGCUGUUUGUUUUUCUGUAGGAACUCAUGAUAUUAUGUACUCUUUAAAAUCCAUAGAGAAUUGAUUUAAUGGAAAUUGAAACAACGCUUUUGUUUCUGUGAUGGCAGAGCAGCAGUAACAGAACUAGCAGGAGUCUGAUGAUGACUGUGGAGAGUGAUGAUGCCCGAGAUAGGACAGUUGACCUUAAGGAAGCCUGGCCAGAUUCACAGUGCAGAUCCUAUCUCUAUCAGUAAGUGAAAAUAAUACCACAAGGGGCAGUUUGAAGGAUUAAAACAAAAAUACAAGUGCGAUGCUGAUUAGGUGCAGAGCCAAUUCCCUAAGCAAGGAAGCAGAAGUAUGUGCAGCUUGUUGCCAUUGUGUUGUUUACAAAUUCCUGCUCAGGUCUGUGAAUUUUGCAGCAUGUGCUGAAUUAAAUGUUCUAUUAUUUUUAUUCCAUUAAAUAUUCUAUUUCACAAGAAAAGGUUCUGUUUCUGCGACAACCUUUACAGGAAAUGAUUCAAGAUAGUUUCUACAGAAAACAGGUAGUAACCGCAGCCUGUGCUUGUAGAGCCAGGAAGUUUCAUGGCCCAUAAGGAAUAUCAGUUAAACAGAGGGGCUUCUUGUUUCCAGGACACGAGUCUGUGUUUGGCUUUAUGUUUCAGGUGUACCGUUGCUGAUUUGAGUGCUGAGCUGUGAAGUAUUUGUUGACCCAUUCAUUUAUCUCUGUCCUGGUCUAUUACUGGAUCUACUCAGUAUUUCCAUCAAAUGCUUUUCUCUUUGCGGGCUGAGCCGUCCCCAGUGCAUCUUAAUCAAUGCAUCAACAACAGCUGCUCUUCUUGACAAACAAUCUAAUGAACACUGAAAUAAGAAUCUUAUUUGUAAGAAAUACCAUCUCUGUCACUACUGAGAAGGCGAGGGGGGACUGUGAAAAUGAAAUAAGACUCUCAGUUUUGAAAUUCUGCUCUAAUAAAUAUGUACAGCGGCUCGGUAAUUUAUGGGUUUGUAUUACUGAUGUUCCAGCAAAGGUGGGCCCCGAUGUUGUAUGCAAGUUUUAUGCAUACAACUUUUGCUCUUCUGUAAAGGUUGGUGCUGUUACCCCUCCUGGUUUUCAGGCCCAGCAGGUCCUCGGUGAGCUGGGAAUAACACUCAGAAUCUCCCUUCCUGAACAUAUCUAGCAUAAAGCAGGAUGGAAGACCUGGUUGAGGGUUGUGGUUACCUGCAGCUUCCACAUGGGCCACACUCCCUAGCCAGGCUGCCAGGGGUGGAAACAGCAGCAGGAAUGGGGCAGGAUCCUUGGGAACUGGAGGUGUGUGUGUGAUGCUGCAUUUAGACAGAACAGAGAACUGAAUUCAUGAAAUGCCCCAGCGAGGUGCUAAUAUAUUUGAUGAGAGUGCUAAGGAAGAGAACUGUAUUUUAUUAAACUGCUUUCAGGCAGUAAAUGUUUUCUAAUGUGAUAAAAAGUUAUUUCAUUCCAAGCUUCUUCUAUCUCAUAGUGCUUUAGAAGGGAGACCUGCCUAUUCCUGACGUCUGCCCACACAGCUGUCUUGUCUCUUAUAGUGCUUUUAAGUACACCAAUGUCACAAGGAAUCAAAAAUAACCAAAUCUAUUGCAAAUGCAGAACUUUAAAAGCGUAACGCUUCUUAAACUGGAGAACCUCAGCCACCUUCUGACUAACUAAGAUGUCAUUUGUCAACUGAGGUCACAUACAAGUAAUCUUAAUUUGAAUGGGGAUUCUGAGGCAAAAGCAGUGAACUGUAAAAACUAAAUCUCUGAAGCUUCUCCCAAGCAUUCCAUGUAGUGGUUGCAUCCAGUUGAAGCCCUGACCACUGUGAAACAACCCCUGAAAGGCCACAGAGCAGGCAGUAUCAGUCCUAGCAAAAGCAGCAUCUGGCACUGCAUGUCUUUGGAUAGAGAAGCAGCUUCCAUAAGAAGAGGGGUGAUUGUUCUCUGUGGGCUCACUGACCCUGACUGCUUUUAUUUUACUUUUUUCCUUCCCAGCAUGGAGCAGUAGAGGUGGCGGGAUGCCUGGCAGCAGGCAGGCUGUUGAACCAAUGCAGCAGCCACAUCUGGCUGCACCCGUCGCAAAAGCCAGAACCAGUCCCUGCCCCAAAGCAAGCAGGAUAGACUGCAGAGUCCCUACCUGAUAUGUAUGCACCAAGACUGGAGCAGUGUGAGUGUCCUCUCCCUUCUAUAGAGCUGCUCUGCAGCGUGCACAGAUGUGCUCAGGUAUAUAUGCCCUUGUACAAAUAUACGGACAAAGAAGCUAUUUCUGAGCUAGAGCACAGUGAGAUUUCUGGAGGUGUUCUCCAACAAAUGGGCACCUGAGGGUGCUCUUGUGUCUUUCAGCAUGAGGAAUGACCAAAAAAGCAUGAAGAUGCAUGUGCUGUCCUUCCUGUAUGCAGAUUGCUUCCAGCUCUGGGUUGCCACCUGCUCUUCCCUUGCCUGCACUGGGUGAGCAACCUGAGGCAUCUGCUGCUGCCGCAGGGGAUAGAUCAUAAGAAAGGAAAGUCUUUUCUGUCAGCCCUAAUUGAGAGAGAUGUUAAGGAUCCAGGAGUCCCGGUGGAGGCAGAGGGGUAGGUGUGUUCUGUGUUCUCUGCUGCUUCCAUAUCCCCAAGGAGAACUUGAAAGCAGCAAAGGAGAUUUUAUUAAUACUAUUUUAUCACUGCUGCUGUGUGAGGAUUUGUUGAUUUCCCAUUAGAUUUCUACAUCUCCACCGUUUUCCUAAACUUGUUACUCCAGCUGGGACUGGUGCAGCAACACUGUACGUUACAGCAAAGCUCCUGCAUUGUUCAUGGCAAACUGCAAGGGUUUGUUCUCCUUUCUCCGGAUGCCCCCUCAUAUCAAAGGGCAAUGGCAGAAACUCAGGUAACAACUGGGGCUUGACUAAUAGGGCUGGUGGGUGAUUCACUGAGGUUUCCUAUGACCCCUCCUGAAUACAGCACAGCGAUGCAGCAUCAAGCUUUUAAGUGUGAAGAGAAGUUAACAUCACAGUGCUGCAAUAUGAUCUGAACAAAACUGGGACUAGGAAACAGUCACCUUGGAAUGGGGACAAUCAUAGUCAGGUUCCGAACAUACAUAAGUGGCGUUAUUAUUUCCCGUUUCUUGUGAGCCAAUUUGCUGUACUUCCAGCCCGCUUUCUUUUCUAUACAAAACAGCAGCCGGAGGAGUCAUUAAAAAAGAAAAAAGUUUGGAUCCCAAGAUUGCCUGUAAUUCAGACACUUCGGUGAUAGAAAAAUGUGUAUUUUCAAAAGAAAGUACGUGCAAGUACCAAAUCUCACCAAACUGCAGAGAUGUUAGUUUGUUCAAACCAACCCCUUUGUGCCGUAGAGGAAACAAUUUACUACUUUGGUAAAUAAAUACAACUGUUAAGAAGUUAACAUCAGCCUGUCAGCUCAAUUGUCUGCUGAAUAAAUGAUAGUGCACAGGUCUGUGAGCUGCAGAGGUGGAGAUGCUGGACUAUGCUGCAAAUACAGAAAGAUUGAGACUGGAAGGUGAAUGUGACAGUGUGGACUGGGACCACAGUCCUCCAGCUGCUGGGAAGACAGAGGCGGUGUGAAAUAGGAAAACAGCAUAAACAGGUGGGCCAGAAAGGAGAAAGAAGUUUACAGGGAUUAUAUUGCAGCAGGAGGCUGUCAUCUGGCGAACACUGAAAUAAGAUGCUGAUGUCCUCCAGGAAAGGUUUAUUGUCGAAUCUCCCAGUAUCAGCAGCCACACACUAACUAAUGCAGGCAGUCAGUUUUGUAUCAUCUAUUUUUCAUCAGCUCAGGAGACUCUGCAGGUGCCAAGAGCCACCCGCGAGCCCUGCUCCUUUCCUCCUCCCUGGCUAAAGCUCCACUGGUUGUUCUGUUUUUCGUCUGUCCCUGUGCCCUUCAGCAGUAAUUAAAGUAAUAAAAUGUUCCCUGGUUCAUCUCUCUGGCAGGCCCUUCCUGCAUCUCUGCCACCUCUAGACAGCUGCUGAGUCUCCCUUUCUCCUUUCCAGCUGCUGUAGGAAAUGGCAUUUCCAUACAGCAGCCUGUCUCUACGACCAUCCAAAUUCUUAAUCUUAUUAACUGAAAUAUUGAUGCACUGCCACCACGGAGGAGGCUGAAAUCUGAAAGCAGAUGUCACAGCAGCUUCCUCCAAGUUAGAAAUGCAGGAGUGAGCUGCACAGAGCCCUGUGCUUACAGCAAGCUGCCUGUUGUGGGUACAGCUCCCAGAUAAGAGGGAGCAGCACACCUGACAGUGAGUGUCUGGGGUUGGGGCUGUGCUAUGGGAGGUGCUGCAAGCCCCAGGCUUGAUGUGGUUAGGAGACAGAAAGCAGGUGUCGGGAGAGGUUCAGGCAUUCACUAAGCUGGCUGAGCACUGGGUAAGCCACUCAGUGAUGUGCCUGUGUGUGUUCAUGUGCAGUAAUGCUGCUGUCAGGCUUGGUGGUGUGUUGUUUCACUCAGAUACACAACUCAGCAUGUCUAGUUCACUGUAAAUGAUGAAUGGAAUCAAGCCCUGGUUUUUUUUUUUAAUCCCUUCACUGUUAAUCGACGAAAACCUCUGUCUGAAAAUAGCACUUGUUUAGGAAGUCAGCUCAGAGAAAACCAAAGAACUAACCAAUGUUUUGCAUCAAAACAAGCAGUAGUGGAGAAGGUAAGAGCGAUACAUUUUGCUUCAUAAUCAUUUGCUAUAUUUUUCACUGGAAUGAAGACUCCAGAAUUUUGAGUUCUGGGGAGGUUGUGGAGGGCUCUGUGCUUAAUCAUGCCUUGCUGCUCAUUCUGAAAUCAUAAAUAGCAGUAUAAAAGCACACAGGAAAAACAUCAGUGAUUAAUAGCAAUUUAAAAAGCCAGAUGCAUCGGAUGAUGUAUCUGUGUAAUGCAUCUUGAGGGUUUUUUUCUGAGAUACAAGUAGAAGAUCUGAGCAAACAAAGUUGUUCUAUUCCACUAGCAAAUGUAAUGGUUACUUAUUGGGCUUGAUUAUUCCAUAUGUUAAUACGUUGCUGCUCCUGCAGCUGUUGGCAGCAAAGGGCUCUGUUCAGGAAGUUGCUUGCAUGCUAAUGAAGCUACUGCUCCAGCUGUUUGUGGCCCUGGGUAACAACAGCAGAGGAUCCCUUAUUUAGCACAAACAAAACCCACAGAUGACAAAUGAGUUUCCUAGUGGAGGUUGUAAGGAUUGAUGCAAAUUCAGCGUGGGCUGUGGAGACAACCACGGCGACUUGUUAGAGAGAUAAGACGUGCUUUUAAAAAAGAUGGGAGAAAUGAUUCAGGCAGUGAACUGAACUUUUUCGGCUGUUGUCAUUCAAAAUGACUCUGAGAUAAAGCUCUGCUCCCUUUCUACCUCACAGCUCCAGGAAACUCAGACACCAGUUCUGCCCAUGACAUCUUUUGUGAAUCCACACUGAUGCUUGUGAAAUGCCUGCAUUUCAUAACCCACUUCUUUCACUUAGAGGCACAAGCUUUGACUACAAAGUUUUGCUCGGUUCUUAGCUUCUGUCACACUUAUGGCCCCAUUGCUGUGCCUAAUAUCUGCUUAAGAGACUUCUUGCUUUAUUUCCAUGCAGCUGUGUUAUCUGAAGUAGAGCAGCCCACGCAUUCAUUGCCCCCACUUGUACAUAUAUUUCUGUGUCAACAUAUAUAUACAAAUAUAUGUACAUACAACAUAUGUACAUAUAUUUCAGGUGUCAAACACUGAGCCUAUGGGCUUCUGCACAGCCUCUGGGAGCCCAGCUUUGUGCUGUGUCCUUACCCACCCCAGCUCACCUCUUCUGGAUGGGAUGUUUGUGCCUCACUGCCUUGCUUCAUUGCUGCUUGCCUUUAAAAGCAAAUACAGAGGAACUAAAAACAACAGGCCAGGCUCUGGUGCUGCUUCUAUCUGAAUGCUAUUCAGACCUUACACAUCUUAACUCUUCAGAGGUAUGUAACUAUCUGGCAGUGCCACGUACUUCGGUGUCCCCCUCUCUGUGCUGAGACAAAGCUACAGAGCUUAUGUUCUGGAAAAUAAAAGUAAUUGAUAAAAGACUUUAAAGGCAAAGCUGCUGUAGCCAUGCAGAGUGCGCUUGUUUGGGCAGUUUGAUGUCCUAUUUUUAUUAUAAAUGUGAUUGAAUUUCCAAUAGUUACACACAAACAACUGUCGUCUGGGAAUAAAAAGAAGUAGAUGUAUGCUAAUUGAAAGCUCUGAUAAUUACACAAUCUUCAAAUUAAUUAACGAGCCAAAGGCAGCCAAACAUUAGCAUUUAGAACGUGCUUUGCUGCAUUAACCACUAAUGAGUUCAUUUAAAUCUAUCAUGCAACCCAUUUUGGAAAGUAUGAGCCAUAUUUAAUCAUAUUCAAUCAGACUUAAUAGUGAAACCUUUAACACUGGGCAUUGUUGGUUGUGAAAUUACCGAAGAAUUUUAGUUAUUAAGUACGGGGGAUGGGAUAUUAGUAUUUAUUGUUAGUUGAAAUGUACAUUGAGAGAGUUAGAGAAGUAAAAGAUGUACAUGUGCAGGAAAGUGUCUUCUGAAAAUAAGUGAGAACUGCCAAAGGAUUUGGUACAUUCACUUGUUUUUAGUAAAUGGAGAUCAAGAUUACAGGUUACUUUGGAGAAACAAGCAAUUAAUUUCUACAGUAUACUGGGGAAUUCCAUGAUCAAGUGAAAAUAGUUCUAUUUCCUAUUUUCAGCCCAAGCAAUGAUGGCGCUGCUAUUUGUUGGCACUGUUCUUAGAGCUGAAAUAACCCAGAAGUCAUCACAGGAGCUUCUCUGCAUUUUAAACAGAGUAACUGAGGUGGAACCUCCAUCUUUCCAUUGCAUUUCACAGAAAGCCUAAUUUCUGGUCCCACUGAAAGCACCGUGUACUUUAUUGUGGGACUUAAUAAAGCAGAUAAAUCACCAUCAGCUCACAAAGUAGACUUCUUCCACCCAUGUCGGUGAAGUUACAAAACUCACAAGGUUCCUUUGGAUAAAAUACCUUUCUCCUCAAAAUGCUUUGCUGAAUAUUUCAGUCACGUCGAGCUGUUUGGAUGAAAAUUUAAUGCCAGCAGUUUCUUGCAUUCAGUCCUUACACCCAGCAGCCUUCAGUUGCACUGCACACAUGGGCUGUGGCAGGAUACAGAGAGAGGAUCCCAGCUGAAGGCUCUGCUGGUGUCAGAGUUACCUUGGCAGGGGAUUCUUUCACAUAAAGUGGUUCACACAGGGCUCAGUUUUGUUCCCAUAUCUUGAAUUUUCAUAGUGUGAAUAUUUGGUGCCUGGGGCAAGCUGGGAUAUUAGAGAUCAGCAUUGGACCAUUGUGGGAUAGUGCAGUCCUGUUACAGUAGCCAGGCAAUCAAGUUAGAAUAAAAGUAACAAAGACUGUCAUCCUAAAAUGAUGCGACCCCGAGGGAUUCAUUCACGUCCUUUUCCUUGAGAAGUUUAUUAAGAAACAGAAGAGAAAGAGGUUGAAAGUGGAACAAAAUCAGAGCUGUCUGACUAGUUCUCUGCAGGGCUGCAAGAGGAAGCUUGAUAAUCCCUGCAGCUCUGUUCUGCAGUAUGGACUGAGCACCAUCCCCUGAGGUCUCUUUUGACUUUAGUGUAAUGCUUGUUUAGGUGAUCUCCAAUGCUCAUCUGCCCUGAAUCUUCAAGUGAAGGGAACAGAAGAUCUAGUAUGUAGAAAGUCAGGUUGCUAUUUUUUUCUUAAUUGAAAAAAUCAGGUCUGGAAUAUCAUUAGAAAUGGGGGUGGGGAUUGGAGUGGGCAUGGAGGUUGUUUCAUUUACUUUCUAAGAAGUUGGUUAGUGCCAGAGAAAUGAAAUCCUUUCCCCAAAUUAAAAGGGUUCAUCUGAAAUCGCUUUUAUUAGCAGCUCAAUUUAUCUUAAAUUUCCACAAAAAUGUCUGUGUUACAACUCUUGUCCAAUGUUGUUAGCUCACAUCCAGCUUCUCAUUUUUGUGAGGCAGGUCAGGGCAAAAGCAAUUAAUUCACAAAGCACCAAUUGACACACAAAAGUCCUUACUCUUUAACAGGGCAUUUCAACUGUGAACCUCAAAGAACCUUAGGGUAGUGCAAUGCCAUAGGGACAGCAGGUAGGUGGGGGGAUAAAGUGCCAAAAAGUCAUACUGAGCACUUGUUGAUGCACUUGACAACGGUUUCUCAGCAAUAUCAGGUGUUUGGUGGAUGAGGGGAUUGGUGCCUCACUUGGGGCACAGUACAUCGUGCCUGUCCUGCUGCUCCAAAGAAACCAAGGAAUCUCCUUUCCUGAUCUCUCAGUGUGACUACAAAACCUUCCUUAGUGAAACAGUAGUUGUAGGAUUUGCUCCUUUGCAUCCUGAUGCAUAAAUAUCCACCAGUUGUAACAGCAUAAUAGAAUAAAUUUGCUGGAUCUCAUGAAAAUACACCAACUACAACACUUGAUUAGGACUAGAUUAAGACGUAAGAGGAUGUUUUUAACUGCCAGUAGAGAUAAAAGUAAUCAUAAAAACUAAAUGAUUCUCAGUUUGAAGCUAGAUUCUUAAGCUUUUAAAUGCUUUAACACUGGAUUUCUAUAUUGAUGCCGACAUGUUCUAUCUCAUUAGCAAGUACUGGUUCUUACAGCACACUUCACAAGCAACAGAACAAAGUUUCAGGGCAGUGUUUCAGCAAGUUGUAAACCAUUAACAUUGUAGAACUUCUUUAUGGUGGGGAAAUUGCGCUGGUAUAAGGAGUGAUUUUGUAUGUGUAGUUUAAUCUGUGGCAGCCAGUCUGUGGGUGUUCAUUUUUCAUUUAAGAACUGUUUCUUUUCCCUUCAUUUAAAUCAAUUUAGAAUUCAUUCUGGUUGAACUAAAUACAGUCCUUGGAUUCUGAAAUGUCUUUAUAGCUCUUUGUCCUGCCCAAGCUCGGUUGUUUCUGAGGCUGAAAUAAACUAAAGCAAUGCAGCCACCCAGAGCAGGAAUGCCACGUUCUCCUCCAACUACUCAAACAUCAGAGAUCUAAUAAUGUGUUGCCCAGAGGAGAAUAUGAGCACGGGCCAUCCCUGAAGCAGAGGUGCUGUUACAAGCUCUUCCUUGUCCUAGAAACAGUGAUACAGCAGCUCCCCUGAGAGCUGUGCAAUGAAUGCAAAGGGAAGAUGCCAUGAGUUUAAUUAUAUGGCACCGUGUGGAAUGCUUGCAUAUUUUCAGGGAGGUUUGUUUUAAGUGAUGUGUGAGACAACCUCACAAGGUGCUCAUAUAGCUGGCAGUGCGUAUCCAGAUGUGCUCUGGAAAUAUCCUACUCACUGGAAAUUGCAUUUAAGAGCAUGAUUAUGAAAUCAGACAGGCCCAUUAGACAUUUGGUCCUUUCUCUCUUUCUUUUUCUUCUGAUGGGAAAUUCAUAGGCCUGCUAAGCUGAAAUGUAUGAGCUAACCUUCCUUUCUUUCUAAAACCAAAGCGGUUUUCCCCUAUGGAGAAAUAAACUACAGAACAAGGGGAUGUGACGUGCUGAAGUUGGAUGCAGCUUGCAAUAUCAGGCCACAGGUAUUAACCCUGCUGCCAGAGUCCAUGCAGAAAUAGUACUGCAGUAUCUUGCAGUACACGAGUGCUGACUCCCGUGCCACAAUAUUAUGCUCACACAUGAAAUAGGAGAGUUGAAACCCCUCUGAAACAAAGAACCUGUGCGUCUCCAAAUGGCAGAACUUCAGAGGUGCUUGAAAUCUAAAUCAGAGUUUAGUAGCUUAAGCCUCAUCCCUAAUUGAAAUAACUGAGAGUGCCUAAACUCUUUACCAGUGUUGGUGUCAUAAAUAUCUCCAUUAAGUAGCAAUUAAGCUGCUGGGAUUUGGGCUGUAUGCCAUUAUAAGAGGUAAUUAUAAAAGAAUUGGAUUAAUUAGUUCCUGAAUUAUUUAUGUAGACAUAAAUAUUGCACAUGAGAUCAGUGUUAAACAGGAUACGGGCACGGAAAGAGGAAGGGAACGAUACUUUGAUUUAUGCUGUUUCUUUAGUUCUUCCUCAGCAAAAUUCACAAGAAGUUGAAGUUUGCUAGAAAUGAACGAUUCCCUUUCUUAACGUGCACAACUUAUCAGCCCCCAUUGGAAACAGACUCCCCUGAUAAAGCCAUUGGAUGUGCUUUUUGUAAUCUCUCCCAGCCACCGCAAAUAAUAAGCACUGAGAGUUCUCUCUUGUCAAUACAAUGAAGUCAAUCUUCUGUCUGUUGCGGUAUAAUUUAGACCGAGGGGAAAUGACUGAUUUCACAGAUAUUAACUUUAUCGGAUACACAAACAACAGAUGUAUUAUAGGGGAAAGAAAUUUGGUGUGAGCAGCACAAAGGAACUCCAGCAAUCAGCAAAUUCAAUCUGCUUUUGACGCUGCUGUGUUCCCGGAGUAUAAAAGCACUUGUCAGCUGUAAAAGUAAAAUAAUAUGAAGAUGGGCAAAGUGAAAACAGCGCAGGGCAUUUAGUAUGCAAACAUCCUGGAGCCUUAAACAGGACCAUAUGAUGCCUAGAAAGCCAUGAGUACUAAUGGGGCUGGAGUCAGUCUGGUUGGUGUAUGAAGAGCUGGUCUAAGACACGGGCUGGAAGAAGUACCUUCAUGGAAAGGCAGUUUUGUUAGUGCUGAAAUCUCAGGUUUCUUCUGAUUUGCCAAUUUAGAAAGGAAAAAGUCAAAACAAAUCAUCCUGACUUCCUUCUGUAGAUUAAUUUUGUGUUGGUUUCAAAGCGGACAUUGUUUACUGUCUUGCAUACGAAUGUUUUAGGAUGUUUUGACAUGAUAAAACGAAGUGGUUCAACAUUAUGGAAACAACAGUUACACACUUCUGUCUUAGGAAAGAAUUUGCUUUUCUCUUGACAGUAAGAAAAAUAACAAUUUGAGUGUUUGCCCUGAGGUUUAGAAGUUCAACUUCCUGGAAAGCUUUAAUUUUCCAUUAAAGAUGGAAACUCUCCUGUACUAUGGAACCCUGUGAUGCCUCCUGGGGGGUGGUUUCAACAUAUAAGUCACCUUAGUUGGCAGAAAGCAGCUGGAAUAAAAGUAAUAGAGCUCGAGAGUUGCUGGGUGCAACUGUUGGUGCUGAGUUUGCUGCUGAGACACAUGCAGUGGCAUUUGGGCAAGUGAGUCCAUUUGUCUGCACCUCAGUUACACACCUGCUCACCACAUAGUGCAGAACCCCAUUACCUGUUAUUUAGCCCCAGAUCAUGCUGAGUAUCCCAGCCCUGCACCAGCUGUGAUCUCUAUAGGUCUGCAAGCUUGGAGCAUUUGUGGUAUCAUUAGUGUGUGGUCUGGGUUCUCCUUAGCCCUCAUCUACAGUGAAAAGGCUUAAAUACGCAGACAAAAAUGAAUGGGGUCUGCAGAGGAAUGUAAAUGUUUGUACAGCACAUCUGUGAAGGCCAGUCGAUAUUGUACCAACUGCCAACCAGCUCCUGCUUGUAAGCAAAUGCUGCACCUUCUCUCUUCUCCCCUGGCUGGCAAUGAGGUGCUGUGGUGACUGAUUUCCCCCUCCAUUUUUUAGCCACUUCGGGGAAUUAACUUUGCACCCGGUUUGAAUUAAUGUAUCAGAGAGCUCCACUCAAGCACCUGUGGCAACUGUAUGUAUUCCCAUGGCACCGUUUGGAAACUGAACACACCCGAAAUGGCAGAUGCCUCCAUGAUGGAACAGCUGGUCUGAAUGGCUGGGUUGCAUUGCCAGGAGAGAUUCUGGGAUCAGACUGUGGGAGCUUUGGAGCAUGGUGGAGAACUAAAGCCAAAUUUCUACAUUCCUGCUCUUCUCAGCAGCCCACAGUUCUGUGUGGUCACCAGUUUAGGACCUUACAUACCUCCCUACAUGCCUUGGCCUGUGGAAUUGAAUGGUAUGUGAGUGGUUCAAGCAGUAUAUUUCACGGUCCUUACAGUUGUGACUUAAUCACUGACACAGUACAACACAUCUCAUAUGGUGGGAUUGCUCAAGCCGUGCAUAAUUGUUUUUGUACUGGUGAAGUGGGGAGGUAUCAGAUGGCAGCAGCCAUUCAGCCACCACACAGAAUUAAUCCCAAACACAACCAGAGGAGUCUUGGCUGCCCCGGAUGGUAAGUUCAAGGGAUGUUAAGUUCAAGCAGUGAAAUGCUGCUUGCCAAAGCCAUCCUCACGUGCAGUACUUGCCCCGUGCUGUUGCCACGUGGCACAGGUGCCGGAUGGAGGAACAUCAGCACCUGCAGGAAGGGGAAAUCAGAGCACUCGGGCUCUGGCAGCUGAGGAGCCCUUCGGAGCGAGAGCUGCUGCUGCAGGACGUGGAAGCAGGUCAGAGGAUUUGGUAAUUUGCUGCUAUUUUUCUGCUUCUCUCGCCCCGUGUUGCGGGGUGUUGGGGUUUGUGGGCACGGUGUGAGGGCUGCAGGCUGCGCUGCGGGUAUAAAAAUGCUUUUAUGGGGUUUUUCUUUCUGCUUGUCCCCACGUGAAGCUGGUAGUGAAGGAGGGUUGGAGCAGGGUGCGGGUCCUCGUGCUGCAGCUGCCGCCAGGUGGUGCUCGGUCCCCGUCUGCUGCUCCGCGUGGCGUUAAGGCCGGUUCGCCCCUUGUUAAUGCGCUCGAGUGUUACUCGGCUGAGCUGGAGCCGAAGGAUUCUUCUCUGCAUCGCAGAAGUAAGAACCUCAGGCUGCCUGAAUGAAGUUUUCCUUAUAAGAAUACUCCAGUGCUAAUGAUGACAACAGUGAAGGAACCAGCAAUUCAAUAAUGGAGGAUGCUGCUGAGGGAACACUGACAUAAGGGCAGGCAGCACUCAGCUCCCAGACCUGCACUGUGAUCCAUCCGUCCUGCAGGGAACUGGCUCUGCUUCUUACAUGUGCCGUUUAACACCUGGAGGGCUAUGAAAAAUAAAAAACAAUUAGGAAAAAGAAAUACUGCAGUUGAAUAGAACCAGUGACACCAACAAAAUGUGGACCCAAGUGAUCGCUAAGACAGUGCAUUCUCUAUUCUCAAGAUCAUCUUCAUGAAAAUAUCCAUGGGAUGACUGCUAAAGAAACAAGAGGAACUAAAAGAGAGAAAAGAUUCAUAAGAGGCAAGCGCCAGUUCUCCCUUGGGUCCUAUAGAAAAGAGAAAAAAAGCCAAAAAAGCUUUUCUGCGUCAUGAGGAAUUCAUCCUUCUGCAAAACUGAAAAUUGAUAGUAAGUUCGGAUGCAUUUGAACAAAAAUUAUUGCAAUGAAGAAAAUAUUAAUUAGCUGCAUUUCUCAAGCGAUUGUAGUAUUAAGUGCACUCAACAAGUGGGUAAGUUCAAUUAGAUUGUGAUUUUUGUUGCCAGCAGUAUGACAGGGUUUAAAAACACAGCAAAAGCCUGAAACCUGGGGCUGCUAUGAAUAAAGAGAAAAUCUGCAGUUGAAUAUUUUAGAAUGAGUUUUGGGGCAGGGGAUAUUAAUUCCAGUUUCAGAAAGGGAUAAAGCUUCCUCGUGGUUCACAACAUGAGCCAAAUAUUUUUUUAAUGAAUACUGGAAAGGCAUUUAAACUACAGCUACUUCAUUCCAUGCUUACCAUAUGGAUUUCACAUUUUCUCUAUAACAUCUGGCUCUGGCUAGUGCCAGAGAUUGGUAACUGGGUGAGAUGAACACUACCCUAGCCUGUCCCUUCUGUGGAGGAGGAACAUUAUCAUGUCUUCUGCAUAUUAUCCAUUGGCAUCCUCUGCAUAAAUAGUGAAGUAUUUGCUGCGAGAAUCUUCUUAGAAUAAGCCUAGGAUAUUCUUAGGUUUAUGCUGAAGUCACAUGUGGUAUCACUGUAAUCACUGUGCUUUUAGCAUGUAAUUAUUUCACAGACUAGCAGGGCAAGCUAUAUUGGUAUGUCUGUGCAUACAGCAAUAAAAAGCGAUACUUCAGAAUAAGGCACAUCGUUUAAUUAUCUUAUGCACUAAAUGCUAAUAUCCAGAGAAACAGUAGGUGUGUGCAACCUUCUUCAGCCUAAAGUUGGGAUGUAACCAUAUAUCAGAAAAUGAAAAU